rnacentral:piRNA from 1 species
UUUCUUAUUAGCAUUCACUUC